AGAAGCGAGGUCCUUGCAUGAGCACACGGUGGAAACGAGACGUCAAGAGCAGCACGAAGUAGGACCCCAGCGAGCCGUCGUCCCACCACGCUGCCUCACCCGAAACAAGGCUCCCACCAGCAAGGCCAGAGGGAGGCACGACCCUCACGCCUGACUCCCAAAGAGGUCUCAGCAGAAGUUUAGCAAGAGUUUCCAUCAUCGCACUUGCUUGAGAAGUGUGUCAGAAGAACGCACUGACCAGCUGGGGAAGCUCCUACAGCCUGGGCCCUGGGAUGAGGAGUUGUGGGGCGGAGCCCGUGGAGCCACAGCAGACAGCCUCCCACAGGUGAUGUGAGUGCGAGGGAGAUGUGCGUGGUUGUGAGCCCCCGAGACACUGGGGUUGCUUGUUACCACAGCC